UUUUUUUUUUUUGAACUGCAACAUGAGCCUAGGAACUAUAAGUAUGGUAGUGCAUUGUUUGAAGAAGAAGAGAGAGAUGAUGAUGAGGAUAAAUGUGAAUAGAUUGUUAGAUAUAAUAAUUGUAAGAUGAGUUCGAGGACCUCGCUUGGAGAUGAGACUCGUCCUAAGAAGGAAGGUGUUUAUGGGCCAGAGGAUUUUUACUCUGGUGAUUUGGUUUGGGGUAAAUCUGGGAGGAAGGAGCCGUUUUGGCCGGCUAUUGUUAUUGAUCCAAUGACGCAAGCACCUGAGCUUGUGUUGCGUUCUUGUAUACCUGAUGCAGCAUGUGUUAUGUUCUUUGGUCACUCUGGGACAGAGAAUGAAAGGGAUUAUGCAUGGGUUAGAAGAGGGAUGAUAUUUCCUUUUGUGGAUUAUGUAGACAGGUUUCAAGAGCAGUCUGAACUGCGUGGAUGCAACCCUGGGGAUUUCCAGAAGGCACUUGAAGAAGCUCUUAUGGCUGACUAAGGAUUCACAGAGAAACUGAUGCAGGAUAUUCACAUGGCCGCAGGUAACCAGACUUUUGAUGAUUCUGUAUACAGAUGGAUUGAAGAAGCCGCAGGGUCAAGCCAAUAUCUUGAUCAUGUUGCUCCAAGUCAGAACAUGAUGAAGAAAUACAGAAAUCCAAGAGCCUGUGUAGGAUGUGGAAUGGUUCUUUCUUUUAAGACGGCAGAGAAAAUGAAAGCUCUGAUUCCUGGAGAUCAGUUGUUGUGUAAACCUUGUUCAAGGCUGACAAAACCAAAACAGGUUUGUGGGAUAUGCAAGAAGAUAUGGAGUCAUGGAUAGUCAGAGCUGGGUGCGUUGUGAUGGGUGUAAAGUAUGGGUUCACUCAGCGUGCGAUCAAAUAUCACAUAAGCAUUUUAAGGAUUUGGGGGAAACAGAUUACUACUGUCCCACAUGCAGAACAAAGUUUAACUUUGACCUAUCAGAUUCGGAAAAGCAAGACUCAAAAUCCAAACUUGGCAAAAACAAUUCCCCAAUGGUGCUUCCUGAUAAGGUUAUCGUUAUAUGCUCUGGAGUUGAAGGCAUAUAUUUUCCAAGCCUUCAUUUAGUCGUAUGUAAAUGUGGAUCUUGUGGACCUGAAAGGAAAGCACUUAGUGAAUGGGAAAGGCAUACUGGUUCAAAAGCAAAAAAUUGGAGGACUAGUGUUAAAGUGUAAAGCUCCAAGUUGCCUCUAGAAGAAUGGAUGAUGAAAUUAGCAGAGUUCCACGCAAAUGCUACUGCAGCAAAACCUCCUAAACGACCUUCUAUAAAGCAGAUAAAGCAGAGGUUGCUUUCCUUUCUUAGAGAAAAGUAUGAGCCGGUCAACGUGAAGUGGACAACCGAGCGAUGUGCAGUUUGCAGAUGGGUUGAAGAUUGGGAUUACAACAAGAUCAUUAUCUGCAACAGAUGCCAAAUAGCAGUUCAUCAGGAAUGCUAUGGGACGAGAAACGUUCUUGACUUCACAUCAUGGGUCUGCAAAGCCUGCGAGACACCUGAGAUCAAACGAGAGUGUUGCCUCUGUCCUGUUAAAGUAAAAGGUGCUACUGAAGUGUAACUCGACAAGGCAUCAGAACUACUGACUCAAGCCAAAGGCAGUAAUCAGAAAAAUGCAUAAAGGUAAACGAGUGUUUAAUACUUAUUUAGCACUACCAUUCUGAGUCAUCAAAAUCUAAGCCAUCACAAGGGAAAAGCUAGAUGACAGGUGAGUCAGUUAUUGUUUCAAAAUCAGCAAGCUCUUCACUCCGCAACUCAGCUUUUGCCUGCACCACAAAGAAGUACACCACGUCUGCCAUAAUCCCAAGGAAAUCAUAGCCAGCUCUACCAAACUGAUUCAGGAAAAUAGAGCUCUCAAAAGGCAAAAGCUAGAUGAUGCAACAUAAAGACAGCAUGUAGAUUCUCUCAACGACAACAACAAAACAAGUCAACAACAACAACGGAUAAAACCUCUGUGAUGAACAGAAGAGGACGUUGUUUCAUGACGUCUUCAACUCUCAUCUGAGUUGACGAGAAACUCUACAACCAGAAAAAGGGAACUAUUUUUGGUUUUUCUUCAACUCUCAUCCGAGUGUUUUGGUAUUUAAAUAAAAGUGUUGUUUUUUAUAUGGGAUCUUAAUUGAUGGGUUGGUUUCUUUUUCUAGAUUCUAUGAAACAGCUCUCUACAAAAAAAAACUCAUCACCAGGGAGAAGAAGCUUAAUCGUUGAGGCUAAGACUCCAUGUUGUUCGAACAAAUGAUGGAGGUUCAGUUUCUUCUCAUUAAUGUUAGGGAUGAUGCUGAAUUAUUACCCAAACGGUGGAAAUCCCCUCUUCUUGCACUGUGCUACUGAAGUGGAACUCGACAAGGCACCAGAAUUCAAAGCAAGACCCUGUGAACAAAAAGGUACCAGUCAAUGCUUCAUGCCAACAAUUCCCUUCCACAGAAUGUUGAAGAUUGUGACUGAGUAACAACAUCAAAUUUUCUAGUUAUAGAUAGCGUUCACUCAAUACGUCUGCAAGAGAGGUUGAUCACAUUGCUUGUGUUGCAUUUGAUUUUGGGAAGCAAAGGUGCGGUAAACUUUGUUCAGUUGACAAGGCUACUACUAUCUUGGAGGAUCGCUGUUGUGGAGGAAAAUAGUCAUAUCAAUGGCUUCAGAGUAUACUGAGGUUGAAGCGAGUCAUCUCUUGAUUGACACUGCUGUGAUGGAUCUUGUUCGGCACCCAGGACAGAGGUUCUCCCAAUUACCAAAAAUGUGCUUCAGCGAGCUGGAUCAUUGGAAGGGACUGGAAUUUAGCUUACGGGAGAUGCCUAUUGGAAGAGCUGCUCUGGGAGUUCCCUUUCCGGAGGAGACCAUCGCAGCUGCAAAAGAAUUAGGUGCAGUGCUUCUUGGAGCCAUUGGAGGGUACAAGUGGGAUAACAGUGAAAAGCAUUUGAGGCGUGAGAAGGGGUUACUUCAGCUUUGUGCAGGUCUUAAAGUCUUUGCAAAUCUGAGACCUGCUACAGUUGUGCCAUAGUUAGUGGAUGCUUCCGCCUUGAAGAGAGAGGUUCAUGCGGCUCUUGAAGUAUUUGUCAAUUUUAAGACCGAUAACAGUGUUAAAGUGACGAGAGAGUAAACAGGCCUGAACAAGUCAGAGGUUUGUGUCUGUGGCUGUGUGUUCCAAACCAGGACGAUGAAUCAUAAUUUCUCAAGGACGUACGAAAGCAUCAAGGUUUAUCACUCAUAGGGAGGGGACUUAUCUUGUAAGUAUGUUGUUGUUGUCAGGACGGUGAUCUUGGUUGAGCUGUCAUGAUGCGUCUUUGGAGGUUUAGCACUUUGAGCCCAGUUGAUCUUUAUCUAUCCUCGUCUUCUUAGCUUCUAUCAUGUUGUUAGUCGAAACUUUAAAAUGCCAAUGACAAGAGACUGCUUCUGCCCCCAGUCAUAGGCUUCCUGCUAGUUCCAAUUCUUACAUUACAAGUGAUCCUAGUGUUGUGAAGGAACUACGUACUUCUUUUGGUAGAGAGAAGACGCUCAAUUGUCAAGUCAGGCAAUGAUAGGCUUCCUGCUAGUUCCAAUUCUUACAUGACAAGUGAUCCUGGUGUUGUGACUUGUAAGGAACUACUUGCUUCUUUUGGUAGAGAGAAGAAGCUCAAUCGUCAAGUCAGGCAAAUGAUGCUGAACUCGUGGACCCAAAUGAUGGUAGAAUCCUCUUCAUUGUACUACUCAAGUGGAAGAGCACGGCCUGUGAUGGAGUCAAGAGGCAGGUUUGCAUGAAGAAUGAAGAAGAUUCGUAACCAAUAAGGCAACAACGUCAAACUGAUUCUUCUUUUUAAAUGGAGUCAAGAAGCAGGUUUGCAUAAAUUGGAUGUGUUUGAAAAAAGCUUGAAGGUCUGAGUGAUGAGUUAAGAUAUGCGUACUAAAGAAUCGAGUCCAGAAGCAAGUUUGGAAGAAAAGCUUGAAGCUAAGUAUAAGUACAUUACUUCUCCUCGACCUUCCCUACUCCUAACUUCCCAGCGCAUUCUUCAACCACUUACGACACAAACAAAAAGCACAUAUUCUCAAGGCGUCGCUACGUUCUCCUUCGCCAGAGGAGCUAUCUCUUCACCCUCGAUUCCGGCUUCACUCCCGGCCACAUUUAGGGACAAUAGUACCUUCUCCCACAACCUCGCAGGUUCCUGCAUCUCAUCAAAAUCAAGAUUGAUUCCAACAACAACCAAAGUUUCAAACUUUAGAAUGAUGAAUUGAAACACUAACCUUCCAGGAGAAGUCUUGGUCCAUGCAGUUCUUAACCAUCUCUUUCAUUGCGGAUGUUCCAUACACUGCAACGGCUCUCGUCACAGCCUUUGCUGUUGCAAUCACAUCUUCCGGAUCCACAACUUCACACUGUAAACAAAGCAAAUUCGUAACUCAAUUUUAGAAUAUUAAGCUGUUAUAAUGUACCUAUCAGAAACACUGUUAUAGAGAUAGCGCCCGGUGAUUUUUUUUUUA